CCUACGGGAGGCAGCAGUGGGGAAUAUUGGGCAAUGGGCGCAAGCCUGACCCAGCAACGCCGCGUGAAGGAAGAAGGCUUUCGGGUUGUAAACUUCUUUUGUCAGGGACGAAGCAAGUGACGGUACCUGACGAAUAAGCCACGGCUAACUACGUGCCAGCAGCCGCGGUAAUACGUAGGGGGCAAGCGUUAUCCGGAUUUACUGGGUGUAAAGGGCGUGUAGGCGGGACGGCAAGUCAGAUGGGAAAACCCCGGGCUCAACCUGUGGCCUGCAUUUGAAACUGUAGUUCUUGAGUACUGGAGAGGCAGCCGUAAUUCCUAGUGUAGCGGUGAAAUGCGUAGAUAUUAGGAGGACCACCAGUGGCGAAGGCGGUCUGCUGGACAGCAACUGACGCUGAGGCGCGAAAGCGUGGGGAGCAAACAGGAUUAGAUACCCGAGUAGUC
rnacentral:rRNA from 1 species